rnacentral:rRNA from 1 species
UCGAGCGAAGCGCUCACGCGGAAUUUUUCGGAAGGAAGCGGGAGUGACUUAGCGGCGGACGGGUGAGUAACGCGUGGGUAACCUGCCCCAUACCGGGGGAUAACGGUUAGAAAUGACCGCUAAUACCGCUUAAGCGCGCGAGGCCGCAUGGCCGUGCGCGAAAAACUCCGGUGGUAUGGGAUGGGCCCGCGUCUGAUUAGGUAGUUGGCGGGGUAAAGGCCCACCAAGCCGACGAUCAGUAGCCGACCUGAGAGGGUGGCCGGCCACAUUGGGACUGAGACACGGCCCAAACUCCUACGGGAGGCAGCAGUGGGGAAUAUUGCGCAAUGGGGGAAACCCUGACGCAGCAACGCCGCGUGAGUGAGGAAGUAUCUCGGUAUGUAAAGCUCUAUCAGCGGGGAAGAAGGAAGACGGUACCCGACUAAGAAGCCCCGGCUAACUACGUGCCAGCAGCCGCGGUAAUACGUAGGGGGCGAGCGUUAUCCGGAUUUACUGGGUGUAAAGGGAGCGUAGACGGCGGCGCAAGUCUGAAGUGAAAGCCCGUGGCUCAACCGCGGAACCGCUUUGGAAACUGCGAGGCUGGAGUGCUGGAGAGGUAAGCGGAAUUCCUGGUGUAGCGGUGAAAUGCGUAGAUAUCAGGAGGAACACCGGUGGCGAAGGCGGCUUACUGGACAGUGACUGACGUUGAGGCUCGAAAGCGUGGGGAGCGAACAGGAUUAGAUACCCUGGUAGUCCACGCUGUAAACGAUGGAUACUAGGUGUGGGGGGACUGACCCC